rnacentral:rRNA from 1 species
UACGUAGGGCGCAAGCGUUAUCCGGAAUUAUUGGGCGUAAAGAGCUCGUAGGCGGUUUGUCGCGUCUGCCGUGAAAGUCCGGGGCUCAACUCCGGAUCUGCGGUGGGUACGGGCAGACUAGAGUGAUGUAGGGGAGACUGGAAUUCCUGGUGUAGCGGUGAAAUGCGUAGAGAUCUGGAGGAACACCCGUGGCGAAGGCGGCUCCCUGGUCCGAUUCUGACGCUGAGACGCGAAAGCGCGGGGAGCGAACGGG